UGCAGUGGUUCUCAACCUGGGGUUUGCGAAAUGUUACAGGGAGUUCUCAGGAAAAAAAUUCCCUAAUGGCUGACAGAGCUGUCUCUAGAGACCCUAG